rnacentral:rRNA from 1 species
GCGUAAGCGUGCGCAGGCGGUUUUGUAAGUCGGAUGUGAAAUCCCCGGGCUCAACCUGGGAACUGCGCUUCGAAACUGCAAGGCUAGAGUGUGUCAGAGGGGGGUAGAAUUCCACGUGUAGCAGUGAAAUGCGUAGAGAUGUGGAGGAAUACCAAUGGCGAAGGCAGCCCCCUGGGAUAACACUGACGCUCAUGCACGAAAGCGUGGGGAGCAAACAGGAUUAGAUACCCUGGUAGUCCACGCCGUAAACGGUGGGCGCUAGUUGUGGGAACCUUCCACGGUUUCUGCGACGCAGCUAACGCAUUAAGCGCCCCGCCUGGGGAGUACGAUCGCAAGAUUAAAACUCAAAGGAAUUGACGGGGCCCCGCACAAGCAGCGGAGCAUGCGGCUUAAUUCGACGCAACGCGAAGAACCUUACCAAGGCUUGACAUAUACAGGAAUAUGGCAGAGAUGUCAUAGCGGUAAAACGUCUGUAUACAGGUGGUGCAUGGUUGUCGUCAGCUCGUGUCGUGAGAUGUUGGGUUAAGUCCCGCAACGAGCGCAACCCUCGUUCUGUGUUGCCAGCAUUUAGUUGGGGACUCACAGGAGACUGCCG